rnacentral:hammerhead_ribozyme from 1 species
AUUCAGCUGACGAGUCCCAAAUUGGACGAAACGCGCGUCGUGGAU